UGAUGUUAAGGGGGUGCCGGAAUUCCAGCAGUCGUAAAACGUUGUGAAUUUACAGUCACUUUUGGGGACGUAUCCGAGUUAAUCAAUUGAUCCUUCAGGUGAAAGAUAUUGAUUUUCGUAGAUGUCUUGCCAAGGCAUAUCAGCCAAGGACGGCGUGGAUCGAAUUUUAAUGUUCAUGGCAUUGUAUUUAUUGACAUUACAUUAUGUUGCAUUGUUGUUUUUUGUUUUACGUGUUGCUUGGAAGCUCCGACUCAAGUUAGCAGUUGAAGCCAUUGAGGCUUUAUUUUAAGGUUUACACUUUGUUUCCUUUAUUUUAUAUGAUCUUCAAACGAUGUUUAAUCAAAUAUAUUCCACUUGAUUGUAAACUUCAUUGUAUUAAACUUAAUCAUUUCCAUUAGAUUGUAAAAUUAGGCAAUCUUAUGAUGAUAGGCAGCAGAGUUAAAAGGCUUUUCAAAAGAUAGAAUCUGAUGGGUUUGUAAGGUCCGUACGCACAUUGAGUGAUAGAUAAUUGGGUAAGCUUAAGUUUUCAUUUUCUUGCAGAGCAAUAGAAACCCAUCAAAUAUCUAAAUAAUUAGACACUGUAAAGACUUACUAAAUAUCACACAAGGGAUCAAAGUAUAUAUAAGCUCUCAAGUGUAGGCAAAUCCAAAUAUUUAUUUGCUUUUAAGACUUACUAAUCUAUAACAAUGGUAUCUCCUAUUGAUCUUGAUUACAUCAAGCUCUAAAUCAGUUGCUAAGCAGUUUAGGUGAAUUCAUGUUUAAUUUGUCUUGAUUUAACAAAUUCAGACUGCUACAUUUGUGUAAAUAUGUAAAUGUUAAUGCUAAAUUUGUUGAUUUUUUAGAAUUAAGAUCAAAUUUACAAAAAUGUAAACAUUGAGGGCUAAAUUUAUUGUUAUACCAAUCAAAAUUAUGUGAAUUUGAUAGAAGACAUUAACUAUCGAUGUAGUUAAAUGUCCUUAUUCAAUUUUCAAAAAUUAUUUGUUGCUCACUUUCAAAAUUAACAAAGAUUAAAUUUCUCUUCUUUUAAAGGGAUCAAUUUAGUCAAUUUUGAAAUUAAGAAAGACUAAAGAAGUCAUUUUACCCAAACUUGCCUUCCCUAUGUUAGAAAGGACUAACAAAGAAAAUCUAUCAUUAUUUCACCUUGGAAAAUAGAAACACAACGCCCUUCCUUCCAAAGACUUUUUAUUUAGGGGAAAAAAGUGAAAAUUAUUCUUCAAGAAAGUGGUAGGAAAUUUAAGUUCAAUUCACUUAAAAUUGUCUAAAAAAGGCAAUUAUUCUUAAGAAAGUUUUACAAAAUUUCAGUUCAAUUGACCCAAAUGCAAAAAUGUGUUAGCCAAAAUGAAAUUCAUGAAUGGUGACAAAUUUUUUUGAAGUUAUACGUUUGGUUACGAAAUCAACUAAUAUAUAUUUUCGUAUAGAUGAUUUACUCAUAGUAACAUAUUAAAUAGGCCCUUAACCUUUAUCACAUUAUCUAAAUAAUCUUGUGUACUUUUAUCAUACCCCACAUAAGCCUUUAAACUUUAUUUGUUAUCCAAAUAACUUUUAAUUUUUAAUUUGUAUCUAGAAAAGUUUUAAUCUUAACAAUUUUGUCCCAUUGGAAGACCUUGACUUGGAAUUAACACCCAUCAUCAUCAUCAUCAUGGUCAUUUGGAACAAGUUUUCUUGUUGGUCAAAACUCCCUUUCUUCUUCUUCAUCAAAGCCCACAACACCAGAAGGCUAAUACAUAGACCUUGACUUGGAAAUUAACACCCAUCAUCAUCGUCGUCGUUUGGAACAAGUUUUCUUGUUGGUCAAAACUCCCUUUUAAUACUCUUUCAUGCCUUCUUCUUCAUCAAAGCCCACAUCACCAGAAGGCUAAUACAUAGACCUUGACUUGGAAAUUAACACCCAUCAUCAUCGUCGUCGUUUGGAACAAGUUUUCUUGUUGGUCAGAACUCCCUUUUAAUACUCUUUCAUGCCUUCUUCUUCAUCAAAGCCCACAUCACCAGAAGGCUAAUACAUAGACCUUGACUUGGAAAUUAACACCCAUCAUCAUCGUCGUCGUUUGGAACAAGUUUUCUUGUUGGUCAAAACUCCCUUUUAAUACUCUUUCAUGCCUUCUUCUUCAUCAAAGCCCACAUCACCAAAAGGCUAAUACAUAGACCUUGACUUGGAAAUUAACACCCAUCAUCAUCGUCGUCGUUUGGAACAAGUUUUCUUGUUGGUCAAAACUCCCUUUUAAUACUCUUUCAUGCCUUCUUCUUCAUCAAAGUCCACAUCACCAGAAGGCUAAUACAUAGACUUAAGGCUUAAAAUAUGGUUCUUUAUAUAAACUCAAAAUCUUUUUGCCUUUGUUUUUCUAAAUAAUGUGAAAUAUGGGCUUUUAUAUAGAUUCAUAAUCCCUUUGUGCUUUGUUCUUAAGCAAUACGAGAUUUAUUAUCCUUUUAACUAACAAAAGAUUUAAGUUAAACUUGGUUUUUAAAAAUUAACAAUAAUAGUUAAACUAUGCACAACAAUAAACACAAAUAAAAUAUAUUAAAUGGUGAUUAUAAGUUGAUGUUGAAAUUCAACACUCCCCUCAUCACCAACUUAUUUUAAAAUUAACGUGUCAUUUGAAAUAAGGGCUAAUUUAAACACAGAUAAAAACAUAGGGGUUUAUUUGGGUACAACAAAAGUAAACUAGUUCAAGGACUCUUUUAACAAUUUAACCAUUUGCUGAACAUUGUCCCAUUGGAAGACCUUGACUUUUGUGGGUAAAAUAUACAAAUAAAGAAGACUGUCAUUUCCUGGAAAGUGUGAAAGUGACAAUUUUCUUGACUCAGAUAAUUAGCUAAUCUCCUCCACUCGUUGCCUUUGUUAAAUCUCAUUUUCUCAUUGUCAUUUAAUUCUAGAAUACCAAAGCUCCCUUUGUGUACUUUCCUCUCUCCUUCCCAUCUUCUUCUGGUCAAAUGAUGCGUUAAGUUUUCUUAACCUUUGAGGUGAAGACACAUGCCUUAACUCAAAAUUUAUUUUCUCAUAGGUUCUAGUAUGAUAAAAUUAUCGUGACUUUAAUAAAAUUAGAAUUUAGUUGAGAAAAUAAUUUAAUUGAAUGAAUGAAUUAAAUUUAUUUUAAUUAAUUAUAUAAAUAAUAUUUUUACAAUGAAAACUUGAUAUUGGGUUGGAUAAUUAAAUGAGUUGAUUUAAGUUUAUAUAGACUUGAUCAUGGGUCGAGCCGGUGCAAAAUUUUAGGCCCAUUUUCUAAGCCCGGCCUGACCUACCCGUAUUAAUUUCUUUAGAUUGUUUUUAUGUAAAGAUAAAUUUAAAAAAUAUAAUACAUCAAAUACACUAAAAAUAUUAAAAUAAAUGUUUCUCAAUAAAUUAAAAAUAUAUUUUUAAAAUAAAUAUUUAUACUUAAAUAAUACUAAUACAGUUGCAACUCAACAAUCAAAUGUUUUUAAAUAGUAGCAAAAUUAACAAUAAAACAAAAAAUUCAAUAUCCAAACAAUAACAAUAAAAUAUUAACAAUACGAUAAUAAAAUUGUAACGAAACAACAAUAUAACAGCAGCAAACAACAACAGAAAAGAAAUAGUCAAAUUCGAGCUGGGUCAAAAUAUCUAGCCCAAGACCCGAGCUAUUUAGGAAAUGUGCCAAUAUUGGUAAGUUGAAUAAUAUUUUACUCAACAUUUACGUUCUAACACAUAAACUAUUAUUUUCCAGCUUUUAAAUUAAUUGCCAAUGAUAGAAAUAUGAAGUGCUUUAAUUAAUUAAAACCAACCAGAAUCACAUGCUCUACAAAUAGCUUGUGAUUUAUUCUUUGGUGCAUUAUCAACUUACCUUUUUCCUUAUGCAUUUUACAAGCUAUAUGUACGGUUGUGAUGCGCAACUUUUGUGGAACUUCCAUGAAAAUUCAGCCCAGGGGUGGUAGCUGCUUUGAUUUAUCCAAAUUCCUACAUAUGUAGCUUCGAGGAAGCAAAGAAGGUUUAUUAGUCAUUUUGAAAUUGGUGUCAAAAGCAAAAGCAACCCUUUUUUUUUCCUCAGCCAAUAAAAAUAUUUUAUUAAUAAGUCUUUAUCACCUCACCAAAAAAAAAGUGAGUUUCCAUGCUUUGGUGCAUUAUCAACUUUUACUUGUCCUUAUGCAUUUUGGAACAAUAUGUAUGACUGUAAUAUGCAGAUUUUCUUUGUAAAUUCAGCGAAAAAACAAAAGAAAAAAGGCGAAGAUUCUUGACAUCUUUGUAGCAUAUUUUUUUUGCAAUCAAUGAAUUAAAAUAAGACAAUUUUUAAUCUCACUCGUGGCAUUAAAAUAAAAGCUCCACUACAAAUGCUGGUGUACGACCUAUUUUUCACAUUUAUUAAAAGAGGAUUACAUUUUUAAUUUGAUUCUAAAUAGGGCCUUAUUUUAUAUUAUUAUAAUAGUCCAAACUAAUUUGGGCAUCAAUAUUUUGUGCUUUGAAAUUUACUUAAUAUCCAUCAACUAGAUUUGGUUACAAAAUCAACUUGUAACUUUUUUUUUCCUAUAGAUGAUUUGCUUAGACUAAUAUACUAAAUAAGUCAUAAGCUUUAUUCAAUUAAGCUCUUAAAAUUUUAUGGGUAAAUUAUCUCGUUAGUUAUUUUAAAUAAGGGUCAUUCCUAUUUUGGUUGCUCUAAUAUUUUUGUUAAUUUGGUAAUCCAAAAGGGAAAUUGAUCACUCUUCUGUAAAACGAUAAUGGAAUAUUGAUUGUGUAUUUCCAUAUUAGUCAUGCUGAAAUUUUUAUGAUGGAAGCAAUUUUUGUUUUAAAAAUUCACGUCAGUAUUUCAAUUGGAAUAAUUAAUAGUAAUAUUUACUUGGAUUAAUUGAUGAUAUUAUUGUAGUAAAGGAUCAAAUUAUUCCAUUUUAAAGUAUAAAAAUAAAAAUAUAAAUUUAGGAAUAAUAAUAGGACCAAAACAAAAUUUUAAUUGUAAGGACUAAAUUAUAAAAUCUAGAAAUUUUAGAAAAGGGACUGUUUUGUAAAAUUGUACAAAAAGAGGUUUAGAACUGAACUGCAGAAUAAUAAAAUCUAUUUUUGAGGAAUUAAAUUGCAGAAUAGUAGAAUUUUAGAUUCCAGGGACUAAUUCGUAAAAAUAUAAAAUUGAAAUAUGAGGGACUAUUUUCUUCGACAGUGAAGAGACCUUUCCUUUUGUUGCUCUAAAAGCUUCUCCUUUUUGUUUCUUCGACAGUGAAGAUAGUCAAUAUAGUCUUAUUAGUUUGGAAAAUGUCUUAUGGAAAAAAAAAUUGGUAAGAUAUUUUCCUUGAAAAUGUCUUGAUUUUACAUUUUUUUUCAAGAAUGAUUUCCUUUAGUAAUUCAUUUUCCACCAAAUAUAGACGGUAAAACAAUGAAAAUAUUUUACAUACAAACAAAUAGACCAUUAAUUAGAAAAUCGAUUCGAUUCUAUAUUUAAAAUAAAUGUUGGCAAGCAUAUUUGUUGGUAAAAAAUCUAUUAGACUCUCUGAUCAAUUUUGGCAUUAAGCAAAUUGGAGUCGCUUAAAAAAAUCGAAGCAAUUUAAAUCCCAUCAGUUUCUACAGUGAGUAAUUAAGGAUAAUUAAUCACAACAUUGAUGUUUUCCAUCAAAUGUAAAUAAUUUUAAUUGGUAUAAUAACAAAUUUACCCCUCAAAGUUUACAAUUAUAUCACUUGUCUUGAUUUAACAAAUUUAGCCAGCAAUAUUUGUGUAAAUGUUUAUACUAAACUUGUUGAAUUUUCAGAAUUAAGACCAAAUUGACAAAAAUGCAAACAUGGCUAAAUUUUUUGUUAUAUCAAUCAAAAUUAUGUACAAUUGACGAAAAAUAUUAAUGUCGUGAAUAAUUGUUCUUUGUUGCUCACUUUUGAAAUUAAGAAUGAUUAAAUUGCUUUGAUUUUUUUGAGAGGGACUAAUUUAUUCAAUUUCAAAAUUGAUAGAGAUUGGAGAUAUAUUUUUACGCAAACACACCUUACCUUUGUUCAGAAGAAAGGACUAAACAGGAAACCCCCAAAAGCACAAAGAAAAUCUAUCAUGGUUUCACCUAAGAAAAAUAGAAAUACAACAUCCUUCCUUCCAAAGACUUUUCAUUUAGGGGAAAAAAGUGGCGAUUAUUCUUGAGAAAGUUGUAGGAAAUUUAAGUUGAAUUCACCUAAAAUUGUCCAAUUAUUCUUAAGAAAGUUAUACCAAAUUUCAGUUCAAUCGACCCAAAUGACAAAGUGUGUAAAAGUCAAUAUUUUUUGUUAGAAAAUUUAUAAGAAAUUUUAUCACAACCCAAAACGAAAUUCAAGAAUGGUGACAAAUUUUUUUUUUGAAGUUAUACGUUUGAUUACAAAAUCAAUUAAUAUUUACUUUUUGUAGAGAUGAUUUAUCGCAUUAUUUAAAUAAUCUCUUGUACUUUUAUCAUACCCCAAAUAAGCCUUUAAAGUCUAAAUAACCCUCAAGUUUUUUACCUGUAUCUAGAUAAGUUUUAGCAUUCAAUUUAUAGGAAAAUAUUUAGUAUAUUGAUAAUAGAGGUUUUAGACUUCACAACUUGACAAAUUUUUAUCAGUAAAAACUCAUCGGCUAUGCUUCACCCUUUCAAUCUCAUUCCCAUUUAACUGACUCACUUUUUCUUCUUACCAUUACAAAAAUAGAAGCAAAAGCAAAGCUCCCUCAGUUUAUUUUGUUCUCUUUUCCUCAAUCUCACAAUCCACUAUCUGUUUUGCCCUUUGCUCGAUUUCGUAAUCUUCUUCGGGUUUUGCCUAUCGAGAAGAUGAGUGAAUGUUAGAGUAUAGAUAAAGACUCUAUUAGUUUAUUAGUUGUUAGUCUGUUAUACAAGCAGUUAUGCUGUUAACUGAAAUUGUUAGUAGCAAUUACUCAUACACAUAUUAUCAAUACUAUUGUUAUACUGGUUAAAUUCAAGAUAAUAAUACAAAAAUCAUUCUCUGCAUAUUCUAUUUUUCUUUCAACUUAAUGUAGAUAUUAACAUAAAGCAAGGUUGUGCCGUAUGCCUACUUUUUUAUUGUCUUACAUUAUAGAUGUGCUUUUUACUUGCAGAGUUUAAAGCAAGGUAGUAUAAGUCAGCCAAAACCUGGGGAUUAAGCUUUGACUUUUUAAAUAUGCUACUAUGAAGGGAAUGAAGAUGGCAGUGAUCGGUGUAAGAAAAACAGAUGAGGAAACAGAGAGUCAAGAGGGAAUUAAUGGCAGAUCUUUGGAAAGGCCAUUAUGCUUGGAAUUUUAGCUAUUCAAAAAGAGAGGGAAUGAAGAUGGCAGUGAUCGGCGUAAGAAAAACAGAUGAGGAAAUAGAAAGUCAAGAGGGAAUUAAUGGCAGAUCUUUGGAAAGGCCAUUAUGCUUGGAAUUUUAGCUAUACAAAAAAGAGAGGAAUAAGUAAGCUUCUAAUUUCUUCUACUGAAUUAUUGUCAUAUAUUUGUGGUUAAGCUGAGAUAUUGAGGCUUUAUUGCAACCUGUUAACAGAUUUGGCUUGUUGAUAUCAUUCAACUCUGAUAAUUUUAUAUUGCAUUAUUUACAGAAAUCUGUAGGUGUUUAGCUUAGCUGAACAUGUUAUGCGGCUGCAAUGUGGUGUUUGUGUCUUGAAACAAGCGAUGCGAUUUUCUAUAGCCAUUUGCUGCGUACAGUAAGUCUUCGUUGUGAAUUUACAGUCACUGUUUUGGGAGAAUGAUGUUAAGGGGGUGCUGGAACUCCAGCAAUCGUAAAACGUGGCUGUGAUUCGAGCUAUUAUACUGUGCUUGAAGCUUCGAACUAGAGCAUGACAGUUUCAUUGCGUAUCAAUUCAACCUCAGAUUCUUUGGGGGACGUAUCCGAGCUAAUUAAUUGGUCCAUCAAGUGAAAGAUAUCGAUUUUUGAAAAUGUCUUGCUAAGGCAGCGGCCAAGGAUGGGGUGGAUUGGAUUUUAAUGUUUAUGGAAUGGUAUUUAUUGGCAUUAUACAUUAUGUUGUACUGUUGUUUUUUGUUUACUGUGUUGCUUGUAAGCUGUAACUUUUACACUUGGUUUCCUUUAUUUUAUAUGAUCUUCAAACGAUGUUUAAUCAAAAAUUUUCCACUUGAUUGUAGACUUCAUUGUGUGAAACUUAAUCAAUUUCAUUAGAUUGUAAAAUUAGGUAGUCUUAAGAGUAUAUUGUAAUUUGAUAUUGCUAAUUUUACAUAAAGGUCCAUGGAUAAAUUAUACAUUGCGAAUUCUACAAAUGUUU
rnacentral:lncRNA from 1 species